UUGUGGCUAUGAUCUCCCAGAAGGGGCUUUUUCUCUUUAAAAAGAACCCGCUGGGCGGUCCAGGAGCAGCAUGGGGAAGAGGGGAGGUGCCAGCGCCAGGAAGAGCAGCGGCUGAUUUCUCUCCUUGGACGAUUCCCCUCAGCUCUGCUCCACUGGUGGCAUGCAGAUACGGGAAAAAAGAGUUCAUGAUCUCAGAACGUUCUGUACACUGUCAAGUCCUCUCCUCCAGUCCCCAGGAAGUCUGAAAGCCUGUUUUCUCUGGGCUACGCUGAGUAGGAGGACCGA